GUUCAAGGCUUCAUUCCACAUGUUCGCAGCAUAUGCAGGCUGAAGGUGGUUCCAAACAGUCAUGACAGAAGCAACCAGAUUAGCAUCCAAGGGUGAGGGGUAAUUUCCAUCAAUUGUGUCUAUCCAGCUAAAUAUUAAGUUGUGGUAACCAUAAGGCAUGCCUGCCAUGCUUUUUGCAUAUUCCCAAGCAGCAGUUUCAUUAAACUUGGCACGGAGGUCAGGGUGCAAAGGCAGCAACGCAAUAUGUGGAUUGGAAUCAUCUUUUUUCACCUCAAACUCCCACCAUUCUUCCCAAGGCAAUAUAGCAAUAACAUCUUCUCCCUUAUCAUUCUCAUUUCCAGAUUCGCCAACCCAUAGUUUUCCUUCAGAGUCUCUCAAGCAAACAGCAGAAUGGCCAGCAUAAGCUCCCGAUACCCAUUUCUCUAAAGUCUCAAAAGCACCCCAGCGACCUCUGAUUUUUGAUAAUGCAAGAAAAUCUCCAGAAUGUAUGUCAUCAGUAUUAGUAAGGUUGGUAACCCAUGGCUGCGGACGUUUUUCAAAUGAAGUACCCAUAUGUUUCUUGAGAAAACCAAUAUUUGAGUUCUCACCCCAUAAAGUAUUAGAGAACAAAGGAAGAACAUCCCAUAGUGCUGAAAGGGUUCCUAACAUUCCUGCUUGCAUUAGGAAAAUUGAGAUACCUUUAUGUUUGACAUAUUCUAACUCAGCCUGAGACUCCCACUCUUUGAUUUCAAGAGUAUGUUCACGAGACAAUACGUAGUAGUCCCAUGUUACACGAUAUGGGGUUGCAAAGACGUAAAGGUCCAUACAUGUCCAACUGUGUGCAUUGCUCACCUUGAUAUGAAGGGUUCCUCCACCAAAUUGACUUUUAGAUUUGUUGUGAAGCUCCAACCAAGCAAUAUUCUUGAAAAAGCAAGCACCUUUCCACUCCAAUGUAUUAUUCCCUUCAAUUGAAGCACCCCCAACAAAAGAGGGCAGAAUAUCUACUGCACUGUAAAGGGAGUUUAGUAUAGGCCAUGAAACUUGUCUUGGUAAUAAAGGCAAAACAUCUUUUGGAUGAAAUGGUGUUUUAAACCCAUGAAUCUGCCAUGAAACAAACUGAAAAAGAAACAAGAAAGUGAUAAAGCUGUGAUUUUU
rnacentral:misc_RNA from 1 species